UCCCAGUUCGGAUUGUAGUCUGCAACCCGACUACAUGAAGCCGGAAUCGCUAGUAAUCGCGGAUCAGAAUGCCGCGGUGAAUACGUUCCCGGGUCUUGUACACACCGCCCGUCACACCAUGGGAGUCGGAAAUGCCCGAAGCCGGUGACCCAACCCGAAAGGGAGGGAGCCGUCGAAGGCAGGUCGGAUGACUGGGGUGAAGUCGUAACAAGGUAUC
rnacentral:rRNA from 1 species